rnacentral:ncRNA from 1 species
UUUGAUAGAGGUGCAGAGAACAUUAGUAAGGAUAUUUAGUCUGGCAGACUGUGAGGUAUUUUGAAAGGGAACUUUGCCGAAAUAGAGAUAUUAGUCCUGAUAUUUCUAUUGGCAGUAUGGAAAAUAUUUAUACUGUUGUCAUUGAUUUUUAUCAAUGGAGUGCUGUCUGG